rnacentral:rRNA from 1 species
UACGUAGGGCGCAAGCGUUGUCCGGAAUUAUUGGGCGUAAAGAGCUCGUAGGCGGCUUGUCACGUCGGGUGUGAAAGCCCGGGGCUUAACCCCGGGUCUGCAUUCGAUACGGGCUAGCUAGAGUGUGGUAGGGGAGAUCGGAAUUCCCGGUGUAGCGGUGAAAUGCGCAGAUAUCGGGAAGAACACCCGUGGCGAAAGCGGCUCUCUGGAACGGUACUGACGCUGAGACGCGAAAGCGUGGGGAGCGAACAGG